GAUGAACGCUAGCUACAGGCUUAACAUAUGCAAGUCGAGGGGUAACGAGAGGAAAGCUUGCUUUCCUUGUCGACGACCGGCGCACGGGUGAGUAACGCGUAUCCAACCUGCCCCCAACUAGGGAAUAACCUUGCGAAAGUAAGACUAAUACCCUAUAAUUUCCUCAGAUGUCAUCUGACGAGGAAUAAAGAUUUAUCGGUUGUGGAUGGGGAUGCGUCUGAUUAGCUUGUUGGCGGGGUAACGGCCCACCAAGGCAACGAUCAGUAGGGGCUCUGAGAGGAAGGUCCCCCACAUUGGAACUGAGACACGGUCCAAACUCCUACGGGAGGCAGCAGUGAGGAAUAUUGGUCAAUGGGCGGAAGCCUGAACCAGCCAAGUAGCGUGCAGGAUGACGGCCCUAUGGGUUGUAAACUGCUUUUAUACAGGAAUAAAGUUAGCCACGUGUGGUUAUUUGUAGGUACUGUAUGAAUAAGGACCGGCUAAUUCCGUGCCAGCCGCCGCUGUAA
rnacentral:rRNA from 1 species